rnacentral:rRNA from 1 species
GACGAACGCUGGCGGCGUGCCUAAUACAUGCAGUAGAACGCUGAAGAGAGGAGCUUGCUCUUCUUGGAUGAGUUGCGAACGGGUGAGUAACGCGUAGGUACCUGCAGCUGAGCGGGGGGAUAACUAUUGGAAACGAUAGCUAAUACCGCAUAACAAUGGAUGACCCAUGUCAUUUAUUUGAAAGGGGCAAAUGCUCCACUACAAGAUGGACCUGCGUUGUAUUAGCUAGUAGGUGAGGUAACGGCUCACCUAGGCGACGAUACAUAGCCGACCUGAGAGGGUGAUCGGCCACACUGGGACUGAGACACGGCCCAGACUCCUACGGGAGGCAGCAGUAGGGAAUCUUCGGCAAUGGGGGCAACCCUGACCGAGCAACGCCGCGUGAGUGAAGAAGGUUUUCGGAUCGUAAAGCUCUGUUGUAAGUCAAGAACGGAUGUGAGAGUGGAAAGUUCACACUGUGACGGUAGCUUACCAGAA